rnacentral:tRNA from 1 species
CAAGGAAGAGUUUGGUUAAAAUACUAGCAUUGGAAGCGAGAGGCCUGCAGUUUGUAGUUCCUUGAC